rnacentral:lncRNA from 1 species
AUGUAUUUGGCCAAAGUGUAUGUAAACUUCCGACUUCAACUGUAUGACCUUUUAUGUGUUACAUAAACACAACCAGUCACAAUGUUUUAAUCCGAUUAGGCUGCUUCAAAAGUAUCUUGUAGGCUACCUGUGCACGUUCGUGGGAUCUGUGGCAUCUGUGGCACACAAAAAACUGUGCUAUCUAGAACCUUUAAGGGUUCUUCGGCUGUCCCCAUAGGAGAACCCUUUGAAUAAACUUUUUGGGUUCCUGGAACCAAAAAGGGUUCUUCCUGGAACCAAAAAGGGUUCUCCUAUGAGGACAGCUGAAGAACCCAUUUAGAACCCUUUUUAUCUAAGAGUGUAGUAUUGUCAUAGUGAUGACCUCUAGAGAGGAACUCAACAGAGAUAUAGGAUCAGGUAGAGAGAGUACAUAGAGACAAACGAGGUCACAGGGACAAAGAGGAAACAUGACACUUCUGCAAAAAGGGGCCAGGGUGAGAUCAUGGGUGUGUUGUUGUUGGCAGUGUGUGUGUGUGUUUGUGUGUGUGUGUGUGAGGCAGAGUGUGUGUAUGCCACUGCCAUUUCCUGCCCUAUGAUUGACUCAAAUGUGGGCACCUGCCUUGACAGAACCACCCAUCCUGUUCCUCUCAGCUUGCUGUAAGCACACACAUUCACACAUACAAUACAAACAUGAACACACACAAACAUGAGCACACACACAUGCCCAAAAUACAUAAACACAAAGAGAUGAAGACACACACAAAUAUGACCACAAGGCCUCUUGUCCCUAACACCUACCACCCCUUACCCACACAGAACAACACACUCACAACCACCACCCACUACAAUCUACAACUUUAUCAAACAUGAAAAUAUGUUCUGUAAUAACAAAGCAUGUAUACACGUGUACCACCCUCCAUGGAACUGCUAGUUGUACUACAUUCUAAGCAGCUCAGGAUAAUGAAUAAGUAAUGUAUGAAUGCUGGAAGCUGUGGGGAAGCACAGGGUAAACAGGGACUUUUACAGUCAGAAUGUGUACUUCCAGCACAGCGGAGGCCUGACAAGUCCAGACGGAGCCCCCGUGGCCUGGGGGGGAGUGGGGGGAAGAUUGCCUGGCUGACUGGCUGGCUGAUUCACUGGCUGGCUGACUGGGUGGCUGACUGGCUGGCUGACUGGCUGGCUGGCUGGCUGGCUGGGUGGCUGGCUGACUGGGUGGCUGACUGGCUGGCUGAUUCACUGACUGCUGGCUAGCUGGCUGACUGGCAGAAUGGCUGACUGGGUGGUAGGCUGGGUGACUGACUGGCUGGCUGACUGGGUGGCUGGGUGGCUGGGUGGCUGGCUGACUGGCUGGCUGACUGGCUGAAUGGUUGACUGGGUGGUAGGCUGGAUGGCUGACUGGCUGGCUGACUGGGUAGCUGGGUGGCUGGCUGGCUAGGUGGCUGGGUGGCUGGCUGACUGGGUGG